GACGGGGUGUAGCCGGGAGCGCGAAAUCCCGAGAGUAGGGAAGAGGGGGCGGGGUCGCGCUCACCCGGCUUAGGCAUGCACGGGUGGCCACGGGAGAAGUAGGUAGAAGCCGGCUGCGUGGAGCCGCCGAGGCUCCUCGCUCGCGCGUGGCGGACCCCGGGGACGCACGGUUACCUGGCCGGCCCGGGUCGGCGCUGUGCUUCAGGCAUAAUGCUUAUGAAAGCUACUGUAGAGGAGGAUGAUUCAGGAUGGGAGCUCAGUGUUCCUGAGAAAAU